rnacentral:tRNA from 2 species
CGGGGUGUAGCGCAGUUGGCAGCGCGCGUCGUUCGGGACGACGAGGUCGGAAGUUCGAGUCUUCUCACCCCGA